GUGUUCACUUUGGCAGCACAUACACUAAAAUUGGAAUGAUACAAAAGAUUAGCAUGGUCCCUCAGGAAGGAUGAUUUGCAAAUUUGUGAAAUGUUCCUCGCCACC